rnacentral:rRNA from 1 species
AUACCCUGGUAGACACGCCGUAAACGAUGUCAACUAGUUGUUCGUGUCAUUAACGAUGUGAGUAACGCAGCUAACGCACUAAGUUGACCGCCUGGGGAGUACGGCCGCAAGGUUAAAACUCAAAUGAAUUGACGGGGGCCCGCACAAGCGGUGGAGCAUGUGGUUUAAUUCGAUGCAACGCGAAGAACCUUACCAUCCCUUGACAUCCAGUGAAUUAUCUAGAGAUAGAUAAGUGCCUUCGGGAACACUGAGACAGGUGCUGCAUGGCUGUCGUCAGCUCGUGUUGUGAGAUGUUGGGUUAAGUCCCGCAACGAGCGCAACCCUUAUCCUUAGUUGCCAGCACGUAAAGGUGGGAACUCUGGGGAGACUGCCGGUGAUAAACCGGAGGAAGGUGGGGACGACGUCAAGUCAUCAUGGCCCUUACGGGAUGGGCUACACACGUGCUACAAUGGCGCAUACAAUGGGAAGCUAGCUCGCGAGAGUACGCGGAUCUCAAAAAGUGCGUCGUAGUCCGGAUUGGAGUCUGCAACUCGACUCCAUGAAGUCGGAAUCGCUAGUAAUCGUGGAUCAGAAUGCCACGGUGAAUACGUUCCCGGGCCUUGUACACACCGCCCGUCACACCAUGGGAGUGGGCUGCACCAGAAGUAGAUAGCUUAACCUUCGGGAGGGCGUUUACCACGGUGUGGUUCAUGACUGGGGUGAAGUCGUAACAAGGUAACC